ACUGGCUACAGGUUAUCUACAAGUCUCUGCUAGGUAAAGCCCCGUCUUAUCUCAGCUCACUGGUCGCCAUAGCAGCACGCGCUUCAGCAGGUAUAUCUCACUGGUCACCAUAGCAGCACCCACUCGUAGCACGCGCUCCAGCAGGUAUAUCUCACUGGUCACCAUAGCAGCACGCGCUCCAGCAGGUAUAUCUCACUGGUCACCAUAGCAGCACCCACUCGUAGCACGCGCUCCAGCAGGUAUAUAUAUAUAUAUAUUUAUUUAUUUAGACUUGCAUGGCUUUAUUUAUUUAUAUAUAUUUUUUUUUUCACCUUUAUUUAACCAGGUAGGCUAGUUGAGAACAGGUUCUCAUUUGCAACUGCGACCAUUCAGCCACCUUUCGUUCCAGUACUCUGCUGCCUGUGACUGGAAUGAAUUGCAAAAAUCGCUGAAGUUGGAGACUUUUAUCUCCCUCACCAAUUUCAAACAUCAGCUAUCCGAGCAGCUAACCGAUCGCUGCAGCUGUACAUAAUCUACUGCUAAAUAGCCCACCCAUUUUCACCUACCUCAUCCCCACAGUUUUUAUUUAUUUACUUUUCUGCUCUUUUGCACACCAAUAUCUCUACCUGUACAUGAUUAUCUGAUCAUUUAUCACUCCAGUGUUAAUCUGCAAUAUUGUAAUUAUUCACCUACCUCCUCAUGCCUUUUGCACACAUUGUAUAUAGACUCCCCCUUUUUUUCUACUGUGUUAUUGACUUGUUAAUUGUUUACUCCAUGUGUAACUCUGUGUUGUCUGUUCACACUGCUAUGCUUUAUCUUGGCCAGGUUGCAGUUGCAAAUGAGAACUUGUUCUCAACUAGCCUACCUGGUUAAAUAAAGGUGAAAUAAAAAUAAAUACAUUUUAAAAAGCUGCGCCAAACGGCUAGCGUUGUCCUGGUAACCAUAAAGAGGGGACAGAGACACAUAUCAUUAUGGAUGCUGAUGUCACUGUUGACAUAAAGUGCUUUACAGAAACCCAGACCCAGAUAGAGCAAGCUGUAUGCUAGACCAGACCAAGCUGUAUGCUAGACCAGACCAAGCUGUAUGCUAGACCAGACCAAGCUGUAUGCUAGACCAGACCAAGCUGUAUGCUAGACCAGACCAAGCUGUAUGCUAGACCAGACCAAGCUGUAUGCUAGCCAGACCAAGCUGUAUGCUAGGCCAGACCAAGCUGUAUGCUAGGCCAGACCAAGCUGUAUGCUAGGCCAGACCAAGCUGUAUGCUAGACCAGACCAAGCUGUAUGCUAGACCAGACCAAGCUGUAUGCUAGGCCAGACCAAGCUGUAUGCUAGGCCAGACCAAGCUGUAUGCUAGGCCAGACCAAGCUGUAUGCUAGACCAGACCAAGCUGUAUGCUAGA